UUACGGUCAAAUCACGCUGAAAACACCGGUUCUCGUUCGAUCACCGAGCAUCGUAGAGCCAGGGCAGUACUUAGAUGGGGGACCGCUUGGGAACACCUGGUACUGUAAG